GGGGCCUGAACAUCUGCUUGGCUGGGUCAGCUGCUAUGACAAUGCCCGGGCGAUCGUGCCCUCCAGCGCUGCCUGCAUGCCGAGGAGGAAGCGAGUCCCCACGUGAAUAAUCGGGCUCCGCCGGCUCACAGCGGAUGUCAGAAGGCUGGAGCGCAAUGGUGCGAUCUUGGCUCACCGCAAUCUCUGCCUCCCGGGUUCAAGCAAUUCUCCUGCCUCAGCCUCCGAGUAGCUGGGAUUACAGGUUGCUGGCAGAGGUGGUUGGGGCUAUGUGCCUGGAGUGAAGAUUCUGCCCAUUGGUCAAGAGACCUCCCUCUCAGAUGCUGGCUCUGCCCCUGCCUUUGGGGGUCGACCCUUGUACU
rnacentral:lncRNA from 10 species